UAACAGAGAGUUCGAUUAUGGCUCAGAUUGAACGCUGGCGGGAUGCUUUACACAUGCAAGUCGAACGGCAGCACGGACUUCGGUCUGGUGGCGAGUGGCGAACAGGUGAGUAAUCGUAUCGGAACGUGCCUGAUAGCGGGGGAUAACUACGCGAAAGCGUAGCUAAUACCGCAUACGCCCUUCGAGAAAGCGGGGGACCUUCGGGCCUCGCACUAUUGAAGCGGCCGAUAUCGGAUUGGCUAGUUGGUGGGGUAACGGCUCACCAAGGCGACGAUCCGUAGCUGGUUUGAGAGAGGACGACCAGCCACACUGGGACUGAGACGGCCCAGACUCCUGCAGGAGGCAGCGGUGGGGAAUUUUGGACAAUGGGGGAAACCUGAAGUCCAGCCAUCCCGCGUGUGCGAUGAAGGCCUUCCGGGUUGUAAAGCGCACGGCAGGAAGAAACGGCACGGGAUAAUACCCGUGCAACUGGCGGUACCUGCAGAAUAAGCACCGGCUAACUACGUGCCAGCAACCGCGGUAAUACGUAGGGUGCAAGCGUUAAUCGGAAUUACUGGGCGUAAAGCGUGCGCAGGCGGUUCGGAAAGAAAGAUGUGAAAUCCCAGAGCUUAACUUUGGAACUGCAUUUUUAACUACCGAGCUAGAGUGUGUCAGAGGGAGGUGGAAUUCCGCGUGUAGCAGUGAAAUGCGUAGAUAUGCGGAGGAACACCGAUAGCGAAGGCAGCCUCCUGGGAUAACACUGACGCUCAUGCACGAAAGCGUGGGGAGCAAACAGGAUUAGAUACCCUGGUAGUCCACGCCCUAAACGAUGUCAACUAGCUGUUGGGGCCUUCGGGCCUUGGUAGCGCAACUAACGCGUGAAGUUGACCGCCUGGGGAGUACAGUCGCAAGAUUAAAACUCAAAGGAAUUGACGGGGACCGCACAAGCGGUGGAUGAUGUGGAUUAAUUCGAUGCAGCGCGAAAAACCUUACCUACCCUUGACAUGUCUGGGAUCCCGAAGAGAUUUGGGAGUGCUCGCAAGAGAACCGGAACACCAGGUGCUGCAUGGCUGUCGUCAGCUCGUGUCGUGAGAUGUUGGGUUAAGUCCCGCAACGAGCGCAACCCUUGUCAUUAGUUGCUACGAAAGGGCACUCCUAAUGAGACUGCCGGUGACAAACCGGAGGAAGGUGGGGAUGACGUCAAGUCCUCAUGGCCCUUAUGGGUAGGGCUUCACACGUCAUACAAUGGUCGGGACAGAGGGUCGCCAACCCCGCGAGAGAGCCAAUCCCGAAACCCGAUCGUAGUCCGGAUCUGAUCUACCGCUCGACUGCGUGAAGUCGGAAUCGCUAGUAAUCGCGGAUCAGCAUGUCGCGGUGAAUACGUUCCCGGGUCUUGUACACACCGCCCGUCACACCAUGGGAGUGGGUUUUACCAGAAGUAGUUAGCCUAACCGUAAGGAGGGCGAUUACCGACAGGAUUCAUGACUGGGGUAAAGUCAUCAACAAGGUAG
rnacentral:rRNA from 1 species